GUGGGGAAUAUUGGACAAUGGGGGGAACCCUGAUCCAGCCAUGCCGCGUGUGUGAAGAAGGCCUUUUGGUUGUAAAGCACUUUAAGUGGGGAGGAGGCUUACCUAGUUAAUACCUGGGCUAAGUGGACGUUACCCACAGAAUAAGCACCGGCUAACUCUGUGCCAGCAGCCGCGGUAAUACAGAGGGUGCGAGCGUUAAUCGGAUUUACUGGGCGUAAAGCGCGCGUAGGUGGUUAAUUAAGUCAAAUGUGAAAUCCCCGAGCUUAACUUGGGAAUUGCAUUCGAUACUGGUUGGCUAGAGUAUGGGAGAGGAUGGUAGAAUUCCAGGUGUAGCGGUGAAAUGCGUAGAGAUCUGGAGGAAUACCGAUGGCGAAGGCAGCCAUCUGGCCUAAUACUGACACUGAGGUGCGAAAGCAUGGGGAGCAAACAGGAUUAGAUACCCCAGUAGUCC
rnacentral:rRNA from 1 species